CGGAACGGGUGAGUAACGCGUGAGGAACCUGCCUCAAAGAGGGGGACAACAGUUGGAAACGACUGCUAAUACCGCAUAAGCCCACGGCUCGGCAUCGAGCAGAGGGAAAAGGAGCAAUCCGCUUUGAGAUGGCCUCGCGUCCGAUUAGCUAGUUGGUGAGGUAACGGCCCACCAAGGCGACGAUCGGUAGCCGGACUGGGAGGUUGAACGGCCACAUUGGGACUGAGACACGGCCAG
rnacentral:rRNA from 1 species